rnacentral:rRNA from 1 species
GACGAACGCUGGCGGCGUGCUUAACACAUGCAAGUCGAACGAAGUGGCGAACGGCUGAGUAAUACGUGGUUAACCUGCCCUCCUUUAUGGGACAAGCCUUGGAAACGGGGUCUAAUACCGAAUAAAGGGGGAUGGGCUCGCGGCCUAUCAGCUUGUUGGUGGGGUGAUGGCCUACCAAGGCGGUGACUGGUAGCCGGCCUGAGAGGGUGACCGGCCACAUUGGGACUGCGAUAGGGCCCAAACUCUUACGGGAGGCAGCAGUGGGGAAUAUUGCGCAAUGGGGGAGACCCUGAGGCGGCGACGCCGGGUGCGGGAUGAUGGCCUUCGGGUUGUAAACCGCUUUCAGCGUUGACGCGGUAGUGGCAGAGGAAGCACCGGCUAACUACGUGCCAGCCGCCGCGGUAAUUC